AAAAUUAGAUUCAAGAAAACAUCCCUAUAAAUUUUGGUCUGUGAUAGUGCCAUACACAGUAAUGUUAUCAGAACAUCUGUCAUUGGUCAAGGCUGAGGAGGAAGCUCUGUUUUGAUCAGCAUCUUGGACCACCAGUGAUGAAGACUUUCACUCACUGAAGUCCACAUUCUUUCUGCUGGGGGAAAAUCCAGGUAGCUACAGGCCUCUGUCUGGCAGGGGUGUGCAACGGUGAGUGGUGAGGCAGCAUCCUGACCCAGAGACCAGUUGGUUGCCCUGCACUCUGACAGGGAGGUGGGACCCUGGCCACAUGAAUCGCCUGCCAUGACCCCAGGCCCCCUUCACUGUAUCCCCUGCUGUGUGCUUCCUCUCUGCCUGCUCGCCUGUGCCAGCCCCACUUGGCUUGUGCUCCUGAGACCUCUUCUUCUCUCCUUCAUGCUUUCAACUUGCAGGAAGCUUCCUGCCCGCUCAGUGGUCACCGUAAGAUUGGUUCCCAGAGAGUCAGCCCUUUGGUGGCAAACAGAGGGGCUGGAGGAGGGGAGGGUCUGCUCCCUGCAUUCAGGGCUGCCUCUGCCUGGGACCCACGCUCCUGGGGUCCUGGACUUGCCCUUCACCUCUCCUCUCAUUCUCGCCCCUGGUGGCCCCUCAGCUGCUCCCUGGGUUUUACCCUUGGUACCUGAUAUAGUUCGGCUAUUUCCCCACCCAAAUCUCAUCUUGAAUUCCGACGUGUUGUAAGAGGGACCUGGUGGGAGGCAAUUGAAUUACGAGGGCAGGUCUUUCCCAUGCUGUUCUCUUGAUAGUGAAUAAGUCUCAUGAGAUCUUACAGUAUUGUAAGGGGGAAUUUCCUUGCCCAAUUUCUCCCUCUUUGCCUGCUGCCAUCCACGGAAGACGUGACUUGCUCCACCUUGCCUUCUGCCAUGAUUGUGAGGCUUCCCUUGCCACGUGGAACUGUAAGUCCAAUUAAAACUCUUUCUUUUGUAAACUGCCCAGUCUCGGGUAUGAGUUUAUCAGCAGCGUGAAAACGGACUAAUACAGUACC
rnacentral:lncRNA from 1 species